GCAAAUAUGACACAAAAAAUUCAUAAUUUGGAAUAUCAUCAAACCCUAACCUGAAGUUCUAGCAGCAGUUGGGAUACGCUAAUCAGACAAAGACAAUGGCGAGGAAGCGAAAACAGCCACCUCGUCCCGCCAAAUCGGCAGAGCGCGCUUUCAAACAGCAACAACAAGAACAGCCACAGUUGAAUCUAGAAUCAGAGUAUAAAGAAGAGGAACAAUACGAAGAAGAAGAAGAAAGCCAAGAAAUUGAAGAAGAAUUAGCACCAAUCAAUGAAACCUCGAAGCCCCCCUCCACUUCUUCCUCCUCUCCAAGCGACGACGAGGAGCCAAUCCAGAACCUUCUAGAAUCCCUCGGCAAGAAUGAGAUCGCCAAAUUUCUCAUCGAGGCCGCCUCCAAGCACCGCGACGUGGCGGACCGGAUACGCCGCACCGCCGACGCCGACCCCGCGCACCGGAAGAUCUUCGUGCACGGCCUCGGCUGGGACACCACCGCCGACACCCUCACUACCGCGUUCUCCCCCUACGGCGACAUCGAGGACUGCAAGGCCGUCGUGGACAAGGCCACUGGCAAGUCCAAGGGCUACGGCUUCGUCCUCUUCAAGACCCGUCACGCUGCGCGCAAUGCCCUCCGCGAGCCGCAGAAAAGGAUCGGCAACCGCAUUGCCGCAUGCCAGCUGGCGUCCGUGGGCCCAGUCCAGUCGUCGCCGGCGACGAUUUCGACGGCGCCGGGGGCUUCGGAUUUCUUGCAGAGGAAGAUCUACGUGAGCAAUGUGAGUGGGGAAUUGGACCCGCAGAGGCUUCUGUCGUUUUUUGCGCAGUUUGGGGAGAUUGAGGAAGGACCUUUAGGACUUGAUAAGGUAACUGGGAAACCGAAAGGGUUCUGUUUAUUUGUUUAUAAGGGUGUGGAGGGUGCAAAGCGGGCGUUGGAGGUGCCGCACAAGAAGUUUGAGGGGCAUAUUUUGCACUGCCAGAAGGCAAUUGAUGGUCAGAAGCAACAGCGAGUGGGGGUGGUGCCGGGUAGUUCUCAGAAUGGCGGGUAUGUUGGUAUGGGGGCAGUGCCGAUGCCGGGACACUUGAUGGCUCCGGCGGGGCCAGCGGUAGGAGGAGGCGUUGCAGGGACGGCGGUGCAACCAGUUAAUCCGGCAGUUGGGCAGGCACUAACGGCAUUGCUGGCAUCUCGGAGUGCCGGGUUGCAAUUGAGUGGGUUCUUGGGUAUUGGGUCACCGGGGACGAACACUGGCGGUUAUGUUGGACAAGGGAGUGUGAAUCCCGGGGCUGUUGCUGUUGGUGGGUAUGGGAAUCAAGUAGCGUUGCCAGGUUCAUAUGCAAGCCAGCAGCAGGUGGGGAUAGGUGGAUCUGGAAGAGUGCAGCAGCCUCAUGGUGUGGGACAGUAUGGUGGCGUUGUGCCUUACAUGGGUCACUAGGUGUGCUUUCAGGUUGGCUUGCCAUUCUACGUUCACACAAGAAAGAAAGUUAUCAUCAAAUUAGCUUGGAAGGAAUAGUUUGCCAGUGAAGAAAAAUUCUAUGAAUAUGAUUUGUCACUGUUUAUACUUAAAUUAUCAUCAAGAAAUUAGGGGAAAGACAGGGGUAUAUGCGCACCAUGGAAGAAGGGCCAAUGUUGAAGAUGGAGGAAGGUGCAGCAGUAUAUGUGCAACAUGGAGCAAGGGGAAGAAAAAUGGGAAGGAUAAGGUUUUUUUUAAAAUAUAAAUUUAAUGGGGUCUUGGAAUUUUGUCAAUCCAACUUAUUAUUUUUGGAUUCACUUCCUUUAUGAUUUUUUUAUGAUUUUGUAAUAAUAGUUAGUUCUCGGCUCAGUCAUUACUAUGCUA